UACGUAGGAUCCUAGCGUUGUCCGGAUUUACUGGGCGUAAAGGGCGCGUAGGCGGCCCGCUAAGUCGAGCGUGAAAUCCCCGAGCUCAACUCGGGAACUGCCUCAGAUACUGACGGCCUCGAGGAAGGUAGGGGCAUGCGGAACUGUAGGUGGAGCGGUGAAAUGCGUUGAUAUCUACAGGAACUCCGGUGGCGAAAGCGGCGUGCUGGACCUUUUCUGACGCUGAGGCGCGAAAGCUAGGGGAGCAAACGGG
rnacentral:rRNA from 1 species